CUUAAACUCUGUACAUAGCUGAUAAUAUAACACUAGAAAUGUCUUUAUCUUUUUGAAACCUUUGUGAAGUUUGUUUACUGUUCAUUUGUAAUUGUUUGUUGUUGAGGUUGUUCUUGUUACUUCUUACUUGUGUUUAUUGUUGAUUUCGUUUGGCAAAAUAAACAUGUUUUACCAUUAAAAUUAAGCCCCAUUGAAUUGAAUUGAAUUGAGAGAGAGAGUGAGAGAGAGUGUGAGUGUCUCUCUCUCUCUUCCUUCCUCUCAUCCUUCCUCUCGCUCUCGCUCUCUAACCCCAGCGUGAAGAGACCAGACAGACAUGGCUGCCACUCUGAAGGGAACUGUCGUCUCUCUUCUUCUUCUCUCCUCCAUUUCUCAAGGUGUCCAUGGCGUUGAAGUGUUCCACCGUGAAUCAGUGAGAGCUGUAGAGGGUCAGAACAUCACUCUACCCUGUCUACUAGGAGAGAAGGAGGGACGUAAGCCCGUCAUCUCUCAGGUAGAAUGGAGGAAGAAAGGAGAGCUAGAGGACCACAAGCUGGUAGUGUAUAACCCUAGUUUUGGUGAAACCCUCAUCUGGCCUAACGUCACCCUGGACGUGGCGUGGUACAAGGACAAGGACAAGCUAAUGGGCACAUCUCUGGUUCUGAAGGGCGUAGAGGCUAGGGACAGCGGGCGCUACAUCUGUGACAUCACCACCUACCCCAACGGUUCCAUCAGGAAAGUCACCAGACUGAGGGUUGAAGGUCCUGCUGACACUGUGACCCCCAGCACCAACAUAACUGAGUCUGCAGGUACCAGCACCAACGUGACUGAGUCUACAGGUACCAGCACCAAUGUAACUGAGUCUACAGUUACCAGCACCAACGUGACUGAGUCUACAGGUACCAGCACCAACGUAACUGAGUCUACAGGUACCAGCACCAACGUGACUGAGUCUACAGGUACCAGCACCAAUGUAACUGAGUCUACAGGUACCAGCACCAAUGUAACAAGCGAACUAACAGAGCCAGGAGAGAUGACAACCCCCACAGCUAACCUCAGCGUCACACCAGACACCCUCACCUCCUCUACCGUACAGGAAGUCAACACAGAGGCGAGACCAAAGGGGUCAGAGGUCAACAGCUCCACCGACAGUCCAGUCAGAGUCCCGUCCACGACCCAAUCAGGAUCCACCUAUCCACCCAAGGUCCAAUCAGAUCAGCCCACUCUGUGGAGCGUCCAAUCCGAUGGUAGGCAGGGGAACGAGUCUGAAUCAGAGACCCCCAGUGGUGGUGGUCAGGGGGGCUCAGUGUCCCCUACGUUAAACCCAGAGAAGAGCACCCUGGCUGGGGAGAAGGAAGACCACACCCUGGGGACCUACUAUACCUCCACUGCCUCCCAUGGGGAUGACGUGGUGAUUGAGACAGGUCCCAGUAGUGGUCAGAGGUACGUGGUGGUGUUUGUGCUGCUUCCUGUCCUGGUUCUGCUGCUCGUGAUCGGGUUCCUCUACAGACGGUACAUCAUCCAGAAGAAGAUGGACCUCCCUCCCCCCUUCAAGCCUCCUCCCCCUCCAGUGAAGUAUUCCUCUUUGAGAGCUGAUGAUGUCCCCAUGACCGACAUCCUCACCUGAAGGGGGAGCUGUUGUAUUUGUUUUAAUGGUUAAACGAAACGCUCCAUUGCUCCCCAUUCAUUUUAUAGUCAUACUUUAAUGUGCGCCCUCUGCUGUCAGAAAUAUAAAUGAGCAUUUUACUGUAAUACCUUUUCCGUACCCAUGCUGUGUGAUUUAAUGGUAUCUCUUUACAAAGCUGGACUUUGAAGCCUUUUCUUCUGUUAUGUUGCUAUGCGUUUUUUGGUUUUCAAGUCAAUGAGCUUUUACCAAAGAGUAUGAUAUUCAUUGUUACAGAAAUGUCUUUAUGGUUAAACUUUGGUGUGAAAUAAGGAAACCAAAAUAUUCUUUAUUAAAUUUGUAAAUAUUAUACUUUUUUUUUUAUACCAGAUAUAUUUUAUGAAAUUAUUAAGAUCGCAAUAUAAUGUAUCCAAUCUGUUUAAAUAAAGAUGUUGAACAAAUU
rnacentral:lncRNA from 1 species